UGCUCAUUCCCCACUGGAAGACCUCUAUACCACCAACCCUGCCCUGAGAUCCAAAUCCCUACCACAAAAGCCUGUGUGCUCAGUCCUGCCAGGACACUUCACACUGCUGCCAAGGGAGUCCACAGUGCAUGAGACCAUGGGUUCUAUCCCCAGCCGAAGGAAGAUCUGAAGAAGCAGACUGGAUCUCUGCUUGCUUUCCUCUGAGGAUGAACAUGAGCCCAGGCUGAUGACCCGAAUUUUUUUUUUUUGAAGACCUGAAGAUUAUGUUUUGAAGACCAUAUAGAGAGAAAGUGGCCAUCAAUAAAACACUGUAAUGUUUAUGUCCCACA